rnacentral:rRNA from 1 species
GGAAGUAUGUACUGUAUACAGUGUCCCGUA